AAUAGGAAUCACAUUAGCAAGGACUCGAAAACGGAAGGUUAACGGGUCAAGCAGAGGCGAGGAAACAAGCGUGAACACUAACGCUCGAGGUAAGUGACUUUCGAUUCACUUCUUAGUAUACAUAUAGAGUUUUCUUGUUAUGGUUGAAUGGGAUGAUUGAUGUAUAUAAAAUGGCCGACAAGUAGGUAUGUAUGAAUGCAUUUAGGAAAAUUACGUAAGUACAUGCACGUGUGAGCUAAGGUAUGCACGGGUGUAGUUAUGAUUCAUUUUAUGAAUGUAUGUAAGUAUGGAGUUAUGCAUGCAUGUAUGUAUAUAUGUAGGUAUUGGUGUAUGUAUGUACGUAAGUAGUUAUGUAUGAGCAUGAGCAUUAUGUAUUUGAAUAUGAAAGUACAUACGUGUGUAGGUACGAACGUAUAUAUAUAUGUGGAUGCAAGUAAGUAUGUAUGUAUGUAUGUGAGUAGGUAUGUGUGUAUGUAGUUAUGUAUGUAUGUAUGUAAAUACAUAUGCGAAGAUGUAAUCAUGUAUGUAUGUAAUUAGAUGCGUGGGUAUGCAAGUAAAGGUAUGUAUGUAUGUAGAUGUGUAUUAUGCGUAUGCGAAGAUACGUAGGUAUAUAUGAAUGUAUGUAGAGAAGUAGUAAUGCAUGUGCGAAUGUAGAUAUGGGGUUGGUAUAGAAGAAGGUACGUAUGAGUAUAUGCAGGUAUGUAGAAAUAUAGGAGGACAUGUACGUAUGUAGACGCAUAUGUAUACAUGUAAACAUGUACAUGUGCAUGAUUUAGAUACGUAGAAUUUUAACGUUACUAAUUAUGCGUUUGAGGUUGGUAUGUGAUGCAGGAACAAGUACACCGGAUUCUUACGAAACUUAAACCGAACCCGGAAUAAGAGGAUGAGAAAGAAUAAUUGGAUGAAUUAAUGUUAAAUUGACGAACGUUAUUCAAUCUUUAAUUACAUGAGAUUAAUGUUAUAUGAUGUUGCCUUUGACUAAUGGUUAAGUUGUAUGUGAUGCCCACAGGUGUUACACGGACUUCUUCUGCUGCUAUGGAAGUGAAGCGGACGUAGAUCGAGUCAAGAGCAAGGAUUGUACGGAUAGAUUGGUCACAUAGUUGAAGUAUAAAACGUUUGGAAAUCUAAAUUUUAGUAUGAAUGUUGUAAAAUUCUUUUAUAGUACGUUUAACAUUUUUAGGAUUUGGAUCCUUCGUGAAAGAAAUGUUGUUAAUACGGAAGAAAAUUUUAAAGCUCUUUUUCCGCUGCGUUAUUUUUAAGGUUAAACGUGUUAGGGCUUAACAAGUUGGUAUCAGAGCCCUGGUUUGAGAGAAUCAAGUACAAGAGGAUAGGUACUUGAACUCGAACCUGUGUGCUCUUAUGACAAGAAACCCGUACAAUCCGAGACUCGACCAAGAUCUAAAGGUAGAAGCAAAGGUAAGUAUGUGCUUAAGUAUGUAUUGGAAGAUAACUAACUAUAUGUUAUGUGUAAGGUAAGCAUGGUUGCUUGGAAAGAAUGAUUUGUGGAUGCGGUCUAGCACCGACACCAAGGCCAUGUUCAUUUAAACAAGGCAUUAUUGAAAGGAUGCGCAUAGGCGGGUGCUCAACAAAUCAAUGGAAGCAAUCAAUGAAAGCAUUACAUGAACCCAUGAAGAAACGGGCCGACUCGGGCCACAAACCGCUGGCAUACACGACGAAGUCAAGGAAUCACAUUAGCAAGGACUCGAAAACGGAAGGUUAACGGGUCAAGCAGAGGCGAGGAAACAAGCGUGAACACUAACGCUCGAGGUAAGUGACUUUCGAUUCACUUCUUAGUAUACAUAUAGAGUUUUCUUGUUAUGGUUGAAUGGGAUGAUUGAUGUAUAUAAAAUGGCCGACAAGUAGGUAUGUAUGAAUGCAUUUAGGAAAAUUACGUAAGUACAUGCACGUGUGAGCUAAGGUAUGCACGGGUGUAGUUAUGAUUCAUUUUAUGAAUGUAUGUAAGUAUGGAGUUAUGUAUGCAUGUAUGUAUAUAUGUAGGUAUUGGUGUAUGUAUGUACGUAAGUAGUUAUGUAUGAGCAUGAGCAUUAUGUAUUUGAAUAUGAAAGUACAUACGUGUGUAGGUACGAACGUAUAUAUAUAUGUGGAUGCAAGUAAGUAUGUAUGUAUGUAUGUGAGUAGGUAUGUGUGUAUGUAGUUAUGUAUGUAUGUAUGUAAAUACAUAUGCGAAGAUGUAAUCAUGUAUGUAUGUAAUUAGAUGCGUGGGUAUGCAAGUAAAGGUAUGUAUGUAUGUAGAUGUGUAUUAUGCGUAUGCGAAGAUACGUAGGUAUAUAUGAAUGUAUGUAGAGAAGUAGUAAUGCAUGUGCGAAUGUAGAUAUGGGGUUGGUAUAGAAGAAGGUACGUAUGAGUAUAUGCAGGUAUGUAGAAAUAUAGGAGGACAUGUACGUAUGUAGACGCAUAUGUAUACAUGUAAACAUGUACAUGUGCAUGAUUUAGAUACGUAGAAUUUUAACGUUACUAAUUAUGCGUUUGAGGUUGGUAUGUGAUGCAGGAACAAGUACACCGGAUUCUUACGAAACUUAAACCGAACCCGGAAUAAGAGGAUGAGAAAGAAUAAUUGGAUGAAUUAAUGUUAAAUUGACGAACGUUAUUCAAUCUUUAAUUACAUGAGAUUAAUGUUAUAUGAUGUUGCCUUUGACUAAUGGUUAAGUUGUAUGUGAUGCCCACAGGUGUUACACGGACUUCUUCUGCUGCUAUGGAAGUGAAGCGGACGUAGAUCGAGUCAAGAGCAAGGAUUGUACGGAUAGAUUGGUCACAUAGUUGAAGUAUAAAACGUUUGGAAAUCUAAAUUUUAGUAUGAAUGUUGUAAAAUUCUUUUAUAGUACGUUUAACAUUUUUAGGAUUUGGAUCCUUCGUGAAAGAAAUGUUGUUAAUACGGAAGAAAAUUUUAAAGCUCUUUUUCCGCUGCGUUA